AUGACAUAUGCUUUAUUCUUAUUAAGUAUUAUUUUGGUUAUAGGAUUUGUAGGUUUGUCUUCAAAACUUUCUCCUAUUUAUGGAGGUUUAGGGUUAUUAGUGGUGCUGUGGGUUGUGGUAUUGUGUUGAAUUAUGGUGGGGCUUUUACAGGGUUAAUAGUCUUUUAGAUUUAUUUGGGUGGUAUGAUGGUUGUUUUUGGUUAUACUGUGGCAAUAGCUAUUGAGGAAUACCCUGAGACAUUAAGGAUCAAAUAUGAUAUUUGAGGAACUUUAUCAUUAGGGUUAUUAAUAGAAUUGGUGUUGAUUUGAUGAAUGGUUGAAUAUGAUGGGGUGGUGAUUACAAUUAAUUUUAGUAGUGUAGGAAGUUGAAUAAUUUUUUAGGGUGAGGGUCCGGGGUUGAUUCAUGAGGAUUCUGUGGGUGCAGGUGCUUUAUAUAAUUAUGGGUGUUGAUUGGUGGUGGCUGCUGGUUGAACAUUGUUGCUGAUUAUGUUGUAAUUGAAAUUACUUGGGGUAA
rnacentral:lncRNA from 1 species